GUGGGGAAUAUUGCACAAUGGGGGAAACCCUGAUGCAGCAACGCCGCGUGAGUGAAGAAGUAUUUCGGUAUGUAAAGCUCUAUCAGCAGGGAAGAAAAUGACGGUACCUGACUAAGAAGCCCCGGCUAACUACGUGCCAGCAGCCGCGGUAAUACGUAGGGGGCAAGCGUUAUCCGGAUUUACUGGGUGUAAAGGGGGCGUAGACGGUAUGACAAGUCUGAAGUGAAAGGCGGGGGCUCAACCCCUGGACUGCUUUGGAAACUGCCAAACUAGAGUGCUGGAGAGGUAAGUGGAAUUCCUAGUGUAGCGGUGAAAUGCGUAGAUAUUAGGAGGAACACCAGUGGCGAAGGCGGCUUACUGGACAGUAACUGACGUUGAGGCUCGAAAGCGUGGGGAGCAAACAGG
rnacentral:rRNA from 1 species